ACACCCAGCAUGCCUUCAUUUUUCUGCUUGAAAACUAGGGGUGACAGAAAUCUGUUCUAUCUUUAGGAAAUCAUGAAAAUGAAAUGACAUGCUCCACGAGGAAACUGAACCAGGCUAAUACUGAAGGUGUAAAGGGAGCGUACAAAGGGAUACCAGGAAGCCUGGAGGGAAAAAAAAAAGAAUGGCGAAUGAAUGUAUAUAUAUGGAAGCUGAUUUUCGUGUGGAAAAACCACAUGCCAUGGUGUAGAGGGCGCUGUACCGGCCACUAAAGCCCCCGUCAAACCCGAAUGUUCCAGAUUCCUCCACUGCCUUGAAGGCCUGAUGAAGAAAUGUACAUGAAGCACUUCAUAAGCUAGAAUGUUCUUUGGAAAUUAGAAAAACGCAAGACAGGAUCGUGGAUUAGAUUCAAGAGAUGAACACUGCGGCUACCUCCAGACCAUUCUCAUAGAUUAUACUGAAAAUUAAGCAAGCUCUGUUGUUGACGCUGUGGAUGCAGGGCGGGAAGGGACUGUGGAGACAUGUGUGCACUCGGCCUGAGCUCCUCGCUGCUUGGUGAUCACUUAAAAAAUGAUGACCGGAUUCUUUCCCAAUUGCCAAGUUCUUUUGCAUGGACAGCGUACAGUGUGAGAGACCUCGGAUAAGAACAUCAUUGUGCAACUUCAGUAAGAUGCUGGUUUACACUUUAAUGACCAAUGUGCAUUUUCAGGAUUUUGCUGGAUAAAACCAUACCAUGCUUUGUUCAUUAAAACUUGAUUUGGGAAAACAUGUAAAUCUUCUACAAAAUAAA